GUGACUUUGACCUAUCUGGGCAAAUAGAUGAGGAUGAGGUGCAGACUUCAGUGUUAACAGCCAGGAGGAAUCCCCAAGAUAAUUGGAAGCAACCUCAAUCAGAGACCACCGGAGCUGUGAGCCAUAAUCCAUGCAAGGACAAAAAGCAAGACAAGCCCACCACCUCAUAGUUGCUACCUUUGGGUCUGUCUGCUCUCACAUCUUGAAAGUAUACUUUCUUUUCAAUUGUUAUUAAAAUUUUGCUUACUUGAGA